rnacentral:rRNA from 1 species
AUUGCACGCUGGCGGCAUGCCUUACACAUGCAAGUCGAACGGCAGCGGACCUUCGGGUGCCGGCGAGUGGCGAACGGGUGAGUAAUAUAUCGGAACGUGCCCAAUCGUGGGGGAUAACGUAGCGAAAGUUACGCUAAUACCGCAUAAGCCCUGAGGGGGAAAGUGGGGGACCGCAAGGCCUCACGCGAAUGGAGCGGCCGAUGUCAGAUUAGCUAGUUGGUGGGGUAAAGGCCCACCAAGGCGACGAUCUGUAGCGGGUCUGAGAGGAUGAUCCGCCACACUGGGACUGAGACACGGCCCAGACUCCUACGGGAGGCAGCAGUGGGGAAUUUUGGACAAUGGGCGCAAGCCUGAUCCAGCCAUGCCGCGUGCGGGACGAAGGCCU